AUCAACUAAAUCAAAUAGAAAAUUUAAUUUUUUUAAUUUUAGAUCGAACUGAACCAAGUUUAUUGGUUCAACUCAGUUAUUCGAUUUAUACAAAAAUGUGCAUAAAAUCCACUUUCUAUUUUUACUCUACACAGUCUGCCCCAAAAGAUCCAUAUUAAGAUGUCAAUUUCCUAUGUACAACUAGUGCAUUUUGUAAAUGGCAUAAUUUUUUAUUUUUUAAUUAAAUAAUUUUAUUUAGUUAGAAAUUAAUUUUUCUAAGGCCAAACCCAUACUAAGGUCCCUGUAUUAUACGACUUUUGUUCAAGAGGCCCUUAUCUCGAAAAACUUAUCUAUGUGGUCCCUUUACUUUAUUAUUUCGCGAUUUUAAUACCCUUAUCUGGACGGAAUGCAGCAAGUGUGAUUCACUUGCCGUUAAUGAGAGAGUGAAAAAAAAAUAUAUUCAACUUUUUUUAUAUUUUGUCACAUCAGAUUUACAACAACCACUAAUAUAUCAACAUGUGUCUCAUUAAUUAUGUAAAAAUUAAAUAACAAAAACCUAACCCUAAUUAAGUAAUUAUUUAAUUAUAUUUACUAUCCCACCAUCAACCUUUAUUUGCUUCCAUCUUACCCGUUGUAACCCAACAAACCAUCAUAGCUUGUCUUCCACUACCAUCUCCGGUACUGUCAUGAGCACCACCACUACCGAAAAAUAGAUGUCCCUUCAGCGCCUCUGCCGUAGUGACCCCUGCCGCCUCGUCUUCUGCUUUCGUUGUUUCUAUCUCGACCUCUCCGCCUCUGCCGUAUUUACCCAUGGCCGGAAGAGCCGGAAGAGACGACCAUCGAUGUAAUGGUCGGGCUUCUCAAGGGAUGUGAAUGGAAGACGGAAUAAAGCAACAGAUACAUUGAGUCACGGCGGCAACGAAAGUGCAAUGGCGGUGGAAGUUGAAGCGCGGUUCGGGUGAUGCAGUAACGGUGCCAAUCAUCAAAAGACCGAGAAGUCAUAUCCUCGGCAUUUCGUCUUCUAAUAAUGUGACAUCUCCGGCCAGUCUUGGGGUUGCGGUGUUGUUCAAAACUGAGAUUUGGAGAAAAUGAAUAAAACAGAAGUUUUGGAGAAGAUGGUAAAAUAGCCAGUUUACCCCCACAAUUUGUUUCUUUUAUAAAGAGAAUAGUGAUAUGGCAUUACGUGGUUUUUUUAUACAGACAAUAUUUUUAAUUAACAGUCAUUUAGGUUAGUUAACGGAAAUUUUUGUUAGUUAAUGGCAAGUGAGAUACACUUGCCAGUUAAGGGUAUUAAAAUCGCGAAAUAAUAAAGUAAAGGGACCACAUAGAUAAGUUUUUCAAGAUAAGGGCCUUUUGAACAAAAAUCGUAUAGUACAGGGGCUUUAGUAUGGGUUUGGCCUUUUUCUAAAUGUUUGUAAAAUAAAAAAAAUCUGUGGUAUAAUUAUUUUUUUUAUUAAA